CUAUUCAACAUUUCCACCUGUUGAUUAAUAGCUAUUUCGUACUGAACCUAUCCAAAACCAGCUGCCUGUCCCAUCUCAGAAAAGGACCUCUGUUCUUCCAGAUUCUUAGACCAAACACCUUAGAAUUAUUUAGACUUCCCCUUUCUCAGACUAGAUUCAUUACAUCAGCAAACCCUCUUGGCCUUACCUUCACCAUAUAUCCAGAAUUUGACCCUCCUCACAACCUUCACCACCAACCAUCCUCCCUCACAUAGAUCACUGCAAUAACCAACAGGUCUCCCUUCUCCCCAUCCCUGUCAGACUUCCAUGAAAAAGAAUGCUUUUUAAACUUAAUAAUGCUUUUCAAACCUAAGUGAAAUCAUGUCAACUCCACUGCUUACAACCCUUCAGUGGCUUCCUAUCUCAUUAAGAGUAAAACCAUAUUCCAUUCAUUACAAGGUGCUCCUUGACCUUCCUAGCCCUGUUCUUACAGGGCUUUAGCCACUUACCUCUCACUACUUUUGGGAAACUCUUCUCUCUGUGGUAUUUGCGGGGAUGGUUCCCUCACUCCUUUCAUGUCUGACCACCUUGUAUAAAAAAGUAUUCUCCAUUCCCACAUAGCCCUCAUGUUCAGCUUUAUUUUCUAUACAGCAUUUACCAUCACCUGCCUCCCAAUAUAUAUUUAUUGUCUAACUUUCCCCUCUAGUAUUCAAUGAGGGCAGAAACCUUGUUCCCUGCUCUGUCCUUAGCACCAAACACUCUGAGUGGCCAUUAUGGCUUUGGUUAAUUUUUGUUUUUUUCGAUAUAGGGUCUCACUCUGUUGCUCAGACUGGAGUGCAGUGGCGUGCAAUCAAGGCUCACUGCAGCCUUGACCUCUGGGCUCCGGUGAUCUUCCCAUCUCAGUUUCCCAGGUAGCUGGGACUACAGGGCUUAAUCUAUUUUCAUGUCUUGGAAAUGAAGAUACAUUUCUCUCUUAAAAAAAAAAAAAAAAAAAAAAAAAAAGCCGGCUGGGCGCUGUGGCUCAUGCCUGUAAUCCCAGCACUUUGGGAGGCCAAGGACGGCAGAUCACAAGGUCAGGAGAUCGAGACCAUCCUGGCUAACACGGUGAAAACCCAUCUCUACUAAAAAUACAAAAAAAUAGCCGGAGUGGUGGCGGGCGCCUGUAGUCCCAGCUACUCCGGAGGCUGAGGCAGAAGAAUGGCGUGAACUUGGGAGGCGGACCUUGCAGUGAGCCGAGAUUGCACCACUGCACUCCAGCCUCGGCAACAGAGUGAGACUCUGUCUCAAACAAAACAAAACAACAACAAAAAAAAAGCCAAAGAAAUUCUUAACAGCAUGUAGUCUCCAAUUCAAAUAGAAAAUACUAUAGAAAAUGCUAACUUGAGUGGACCAGUUUUAAUCAGCGCCAAAUAAUUCUAGUAUAGAACUAACUUUAGAGAAAGUAAAGUAUGUAAACAAAAUAGUUCCUUUUGUACCAUAACAACUUUUCUAUUUUGAGAGCAGGUAUCUAAUUCGGUAGCUUCACUUAUUUUAACGAUAGCAAUGAAACAGGUAGUAAAGUAACAGAUGUCACAAAAUCCAUGCAUUUAAGCAUAAUCCACUUCCUCAAGUCUUCACUUUGAGUUUAUUUAUUCUUACUUUACACAGAAGUCUAAUAAACUUAGUUUGUCUGGUCUCCAAAAUGAAAGCAGAUCAGAAGGCACAUUAUGAAGGUGGAGAAGGGCUACUGCUACAGGCACACUUAAGCAAGCAGUAAUAGAAAUGGAAGAAUCAGAACGACUGUUAAAGACAUGAAAACUAAAACGAGUACAGCAGAAUGGAGCCAUUUAGUACAGGGACAAACAGCUCUCAAUGUCUGAUUAGUCUAUCAGAUUAUAAUAAGUGAUGUUAAUGCUGAUCAUUUUGAUACCAAACAAAUUAAAAUACAUUCAUAUAUUAUUUAAGACAGUAAUGCAUAUCAAUUUUAUGAAGAUUUCCUUCAGAGAUUAUUCCAAAAAAUUUUAGGGCUGAAAGAGGUUCAAGCUCUGCAGGAAACUGGGAUAUCUAGAAUGACUCAUUCCCCAAAUAUUCAAGUUACCCAGUUCUUACUAAAUUAGCCAUCUUUAGUCUCAUAACAAUAUUUCUAGAACAUAAGUCUUGAUGAACAGAGUUGAAGUUACAUUUAUAGUGCCAUAAGUUUUAAAUCUGUGUACUGUACUAAGAACAAUUAAUGAUAACAAUACGUUUAACAUUUUUCUGAAAUAUACACAAUUAUUUAUUCAAAAAUGAUAGUCAAAUUUCUCUUAUAGUUGAAUUCAUUAAUGGAAGUCCUAGAAACAUCAUUAUAUAAAAACUGAAUUAGAACUUCAAAUAUAUGGCAAUCACAUAUUCAACCAAGUAUUUGUUUUAGCAAGUUUUUAGUAAAGAACUAAGAGGCAAACAAAACAAUGCUAAGCAGUCAAGCAGGUAUCACAAAGUCCAUGCACUUUACUGACAGAAAAGCCCCUUAGCUCUCUUUCAGUCUACUUACUCUUAUUUUAGACACAAUUCUAGCAAGCUUGGCAAUCUGGUUUCUCAGUCCACAGCAGAUUAGAAGCAGCAAAUUAGGGACCUAUUGCAGGAGGCAGGCACACAAGACGGCGGCAAAAGUGACAGCUGAUUAUAAGGGAAGAUAGAGAAACUGUGAAAAACAGACAUAACUGAAAAAAGCACACCAGUGUGAGGUCAUGUUGUAAAGGGGUACCUGACAUAUAUCUCAGUAGCCCCUGAGGAUGAGUUUCUGUUUAUCACCCCAUGAUAGAAACUGAUAUUCCUAAAGAUGACAGAAAAAGUUAAAUUAUAUUCUAUAUACUCUAGACAAAGUAGAGAAGUAGUGCAUUUAGUUAUUAAAUUAUUAAAAUGGAUUUGUUUUAGUUAGCUGAGAAGUUAACUUAGGCAAAUUAAUCACCUGUCUAUGAUGACAGAUAAAUGGUUACUGCAUUUUUUUUCUAUAUUUUCUCUUCUAAAAUAUUUGUAGCUUUAUUUUCUAAUUGUGAACUGCAUAACUAUUUUCUUGUAAGUAGAAUUGGAAAAAUAAACCAACCUUUAUGCCUUGUCUGGUUGUCAUUCUUAGCAUAAUAUCUACUUUAGUUCAAACAAUGAUUUAGCUGAGCUAUAAUACACUCUUAUAGUAUUUAGUCUGUUUCUUUGUUUGUUUUGGGUAUAGGAACAAUAUACUAUGAUUAAACCAAAUCAGUUGAACUUUUUCAUAUUUUACAUUACUGAUAGGAAGUGAAGAGUUAGUCACCAGAGUGAAAUGAUCUGUAAACACUCCACUGACUUACAAUUUUGUGGAAUGUAUCAGGACUUGAUUUUUUUAAUGCUUUAACACUAAAAGCUUUAUAACUUUUCUUACGUAAAUCAGAAUAUUACUAUUAAGAAAAUUGAGUUUUAAAUGGACUUUCCUACCUGGAGGUAGACAAAGGGUACAAAUUCUGUCUUCAAGAGUGACCUAAAUAGACUCUCACAUGCAUUCUUCCAUUAAGUACUAGGUUUGUCCUGGUAAAACAAACUACAGAAAUAUCUGUAUUAAAAACUGUCAGGAUGAUACUCCUAACAAGAAUCAUACUGUUAAAAAUCAUAUUGUAAAACUUAAAAAGCACAAUUAUAAGUUUUCCCUGCAGUGUUUUAUUUUUUUCCCCAGAGGGCUUCUUCUGUAUAUAGGGUAGCAGCUUUUUUUUUGAGACGGAGUCUCGCUCUGUCGCCCAGGCUGGAGUGCAGUGGCACGAUCUCGGCUCACUG
rnacentral:lncRNA from 10 species